rnacentral:rRNA from 1 species
UUCUUGGAUUUAUUGAAGACUAACUACUGCGAAAGCAUUUGCCAAGGAUGUUUUCACNANUCAAGAACGAAAGUUAGGGGAUCAAAGACGAUCAGAUACCGUCGUAGUCUUAACCAUAAACUAUGCCGACUAGGGAUCGGAUGAUGUUAAUUUUUUAAUGACUCA